CUGUCAGGGAGUACGGACGCAGCCGCCGCCGAGUCGAUGCGCGUGCCAGGGAGUUCGACCGCGCCGAGCCGCUGCUGCACCGCCCGUGGCCGGGUCGUGCCCGCGCCGCCGUGGCCGGCGCCCGAGCCCGCGGUCGGGUCACGCCCGCGCGGUCGUGGCCGGACGUGCCCGGACGUGCCCGCCGCCAGGGAGCAGCCGUGCCUGGGGAGCCCUUUGGCCGAGGCCGCUCACCCGCCCGCUCCGGGGCCGAGCCGCGCGCCCGCUCCGGGGAGCGCACGUGGCCGUUUCGGCGUCCGCGCACCGGGAAGGGCCAUGGAAGUAUCGUCUGCAGCAACCAGCCAGUUUCUUUGA
rnacentral:misc_RNA from 1 species